CUACGGGUGGCUGCAGUAAGGAAUAUUGCGCAAUGGAGGCAACUCUGACGCAGCCAUGCCGCGUGCAGGACUGAAGGCCUUAUGGGUCGUAAACUGCUUUUAUUUAGGAAUAAACUCUUGUACGUGUACGAGACUGAAGGUACUAAAUGAAUAAGCACCGGCUAACUCCGUGCCAGCAGCCGCGGUAAUACGGAGGGUGCAAGCGUUAUCCGGAUUUAUUGGGUUUAAAGGGUGCGCAGGCGGACUAUUAAGUCAGAGGUGAAAUCCCGGAGCUCAACUUCGGAACUGCCUUUGAUACUGGUAGUCUUGAAUACGGUUGAAGUAGGCGGAAUGUAGCAUGUAGCGGUGAAAUGCAUAGAGAUGCUACAGAACACCGAUCGCGAAGGCAGCUUACUAAGCCGAUAUUGACGCUCAGGCACGAAAGCGUGGGGAGCGAGCAGGAUUAGAUACCCCUGUAGUC
rnacentral:rRNA from 1 species